UUGAGAUUAAAAUAGAUGUGAAUUCAAGAAUGACGGAAUUUCAAUCCGUACUUCUAAGUACAUGUUAAUCCUCCGGAGAUUACCGUGAUUGAUGCUAGUUAUAAAAGACGAGAAUGAUGCUACAGAUCGCAGUUUAAUAGUAUAAUUAUGGCACGCCGAGUAGUAUUUUUGCUCGUUUUCUUUGUGGUUUUUGUUUUGGCAUCUUGUCUUGACAAAACAAGAGCUGCUGGAGGAGUGCAAGUUAGAGAUGAAGAUAUUCGAUACUCGAAAGAGUUUUACUACGAGCUUCUUCUCUAUAUAAAAGAACAUCACCUUAUGGAUUUGGAUGAUUGUCCUCACUGGCAGUGUUUUGACGAACACACGUGUGUAGAUCUAUGCGAUGCUGGACUGUGGCCUUAAUAUUUUUGUUUAACAUUGUUUAAUUAAACUUAUAAUAAAACUAUACGUGUUACUGGUGACGAACAAA